GUAAAGAAGAAAGAAGCGUCGACAAGUAGACACAUGGAUUGAGUGUAUGUAAGCAAUCAAGUGUGGUUUGUGAAAGCUGGACUAGACAGCUAUAAUCAAGUGCGUCUUUUCGGUCUGCCGUGGUAUUCUCAAGAGCGACGAUGGAGCAGUAGUUUGCAACGAUACAUGAGUUUUGAGUGAAACACAAAAACAAUCAUCUUGAUUUAACGGUGUGUUUCCAGCGAUCUUCGACUGAGUGGCAUGAAACCAAGACCUAAGUAAUAACAAAGACCUAACAGAAAAACGAAAAAUGUUAUUCACAAAGGAACUACGCUGCCGAGAAAACGCUCUUACUCAAAGUGAAAACAAGUUAACUGCUUAAAGUGCGGGAAAAAAGGGGGCGCCGAGUCAUGAGGGUCUCAGUUUUGCAUCUGAUUGGACGAAUCACAGUGCGGAAUAAUGCUAAAUCAAACAAUUCAGUGGGCCUUGCUCAAGAUAGAACAUGAUUGUAUGAAAUUGUGUUGCAAUGAGUAAAACUUUCAACCAGGUUUAACAGCUUUUCAUGAUGAAAAUCUAUUAUAUUUGCGCAAAUCGAUUAUUAUUUGUAGCCACUUAAGUACUAAAGAAGCUAACUUCUAAACACAACCGGAAAAUAAGAGCAGACCGGCCUUUAGCACUCGACUGUUUUAGAGAAGGAAAGUAGAAGCUGUAACAUGGAACAUCUAUCAAAGAAAGGACAAAAGAAAAGAACUUGACCAGCGAAUAAUAACUCUGAAAAGAAAUUUUUCUGCGGAAGCUGUGUCUUCCUCAUAAAUUAUCCAUGAAAUAAAAAAUCAGCAUGUUCCAUGUAACACGACAAAGAACGGAUCGCAACACAAACCCAAGUUUGCACAUGCGCCCACAACUUGCUUUACUCAUUUGCAUAUCCUUCAGUCCUCGUGGUGGAAAGCCAGCGAAGAAACCAGGUUGAGGAAAUUGAGGUGGACGACGAAAACCAUUAGAUUAAUGGGAACAGUGCGGUGACCGUGGGUGGACAGCCGACCUUUUGCAUCUGACAAUUUACAACGAGGAGAACAAGAGGUAGUUUGCACCUGGAAAAUCCUUCAGAUCAGCAAUUAUUUUCAUGGAAAGUUUACAAUCUAAGAUCAUUGAACCCUGGAAAAUGUCUCAAUUCCAAAACUCCUGGUGGCAGUACCAGCAUUGACCAAAGGGCUAGUGGCAGGUUCCAUCAUCUAAGUUAUCUUUAGUUAUCAUUUAACUGAAGUUAAAUGAUAACUAAAGCUGCCUGAGUUAGUGAAUGGAGAAGAUGCAGCUGAUGGCUGGGACUGUGGCACCAAACGAGUGUGGAAAUUGUAGAGGUUAAGGUUCAUACGAGACCAGUCUGCCAGGCCUGAUGCAGCUGCAUCCUUCCAAAAGGCAGUGUCUAGUGAAACCAGGCCUUGCCAGGGAACUGAUGCAUGGUCUUCAGAAUCAGGAGCUUGUACUGUGUCAUGUCUUGCCAUCUAGAAGGAUGCAAGCAGCUGAAAAUCCACAUGUAGACUGUAAAUGCCUUCACCCCCCAGUUGACAAUGUCAGUGAUCUCUUGUAUCCUUUUCUUUGAUGAACUGACCAGAAGUUUGCCGUCAAGAUAUGUUUGCAGCUCCACUUGCAGAGCCUUCAGUUUUCACCUAGUAGGUCAGCCAUAUCAACAAAUUGCCCUGAUGUAAUCUUAGUAACCAGCUUCUCUGGGAUGGUAGAAUAACCUGGACCAACUGAGAAGAAGAGAUCCCUGGAAAAAUGGUAGAUGCAGGAACAGAACUGGCAGGGAAGGCCAGUGCAGAAGACUGGCCGAUGGCAGAAAGCACUCUGUUCGCAGUGCCCUGGGAGCCAAACAAAGACAGUGAGGUUAAAGACAAAUUACCUAACAUGUAAUACAUGGAAAUGAAUGAAGGCACAACAAAAUCACCUGAUGAUAAGCCUGCAGAGGAUGUGGAAGAAUUGAUGGCAGAGGAGCCUGAAGAAGUUGAGCUUGAGAGCAUGUUUCCCACUGACAUGUAACGCAACACUGAGAGACGUGUAGUGGCUUUGCAUGGCUGCCAAAAUGUGAGGCAAUGACUUGCCUAAUGCUCGGGAGAUGGCUAGACUGAGAUCCUGAGCAGAGAGCACAAAAGAAGGAAGGGAGGCUGCAGGGGCUGAGGCAAUCAAGGUUUCUGUUAAGGAAGGAGGCACAAUGUGCACAAGACUGAGAUGUACUGUGAUUUGUCGGGUACAUUAAAGAGAAUCCAGGAAACUCAAGUAUCAUCAGAACAGUUUAUUUACUCCGAGGCGUCAAGACCAAGCAAAGGGAGCCAAGCCUUUCAUCUUUCCUUUCAUUUCGGUGGAUCUGGUUCAGAGAUCAAGUAAAAUGUCUAUAGAAUCGCCUUUCAAUAUGGUGAAGAAAACGAUUGCAUCAAAUACACGCUCGCCCGGACAAAGUGUCUGCAG